AGUAACACGUCGGUAAUCUGCCCUUUGGUCAAGGAUAACCUCGGGAAACUGAGGCUAAUACUUGAUAUGAGAUUAGUUCUGGAAUGACUUAUCUCUGAAACUUUAGGCCAUUGGAUGAGCCGGCGGCGGAUUAGCUUGUUGGUGAGGUAAUGGCUCACCAAGGCUACGAUCCGUAGGGGCCUUGAAAGAGGUAGCCUCGAGAAGGACACUGAGAUACUGGUCCUAGCCCUACGGGGUGCAGCAGGCGCGAAACCUUUACAAUGCACGCAAGUGUGAUAAGGGAACUCUGAGUGCUCAUGCUCAGCAUGGGCUUUUGCCAAGAGUAAAUACCUUGGCGAAUAAGUGGUGGGAAAGACUGGUGCCAGCAGCCGCGGUAACACCAGCGCCACGAGUGGGGAUCAUGUUUAUUGGGUCUAAAGCGUCCGUAGCCUGUUUAGUAAAUCCUUUGUGAAAUCGUCUGGCUUAACUGGACGGCGAGCAGAGGAGACUGCUAAUCUUGGGACCAGGAGGGGCCAGAGGUAUGCCUUGGGGAGCGGUAAAAUGCUAUAAUCCUUGGCAGACCACCUGUGGCGAAGGCGUCUGGCUAGAAUGGAUCCGACGGUGAGGGACGAAAGCUAGGGGAGCGAACCGGAUUGGAUACCCGAGUAGUCCUGGCUGUAAACGUUGCGAGCUAGGUGUUGUGCAUUUCAAGUGAAUGUGCAGUAUCGUAGCGAGGGCGUUAAGCUCGCCACCUGGGAAGUACGGUCGCAAGGCUGAAACUUAAAGGAAUUGGCGGGGGAGCACUACAAGGGGUGCGGCGUGCGGUUUAAUUUAACUCCACUCAGAGAAUCUCACCAGCAGCGACGGCAGGAUGAAAGUCAGAUUGAAGGUUUUACUUGACGAGCCGAGAGGUGCUGCAUGGCCGCCGUCAGCUCGUGCCGCAAGGUGUCCAGCUAAGUCUGGUAACGAGCGAGACCUGUAUCUACAAUUGCUAAUGAGUCCUUUAGGAUGAUCAAGCACAUUGUAGAGACUGCCUCUGUAAAGAGGAGGAAGGUGCAGGCAACGGUAGGUCUGUAUGGCCCGAAUCUGCUGGGCUACACGCGCGCAACAAUGGUAGGGACAAUGGGAUGCAACUCCGAAAGGAGAAGCUAAUCCUCUAAACCCUAUCCAAGUACAGAUCGAGGACUGUAACUCGUCCUCGUGACGAUGGAAUCCCUAGUAAUCGGAUGUCAUAAGCGUCCGGUGAAUAUGUCCCUGCUCCUUGCACACACCGCCCGUCAAACCACUCGAGCAGGGUUUAGGUGAGACUCAACUUAUUGGUUAAGUCGAAUCUGAGCUCAGUGAGAUGGGUUAAGUCGUCACAAGGUA
rnacentral:rRNA from 1 species